CGUAAACGUAAACGUAAACGUAAACGUAAACGUAAACGUAAACGUAAACGUAAAAUGUAAACGUAAACGUAAACGUAAACGUAAACGUAAACCGUAAACGUAAACGUAAACGAAGCGAAACGUCGCGACAUCUAUUCCCUAUCUGUUCUUCAAUUUUACUAUUGCACUAACAAUAGGAAAACCGAAAAAGAAUGACAGUCCGACGUGGAUCAUGGUGAAUACAAAAGAAAUUCUGAUUAAUAACCAUAUGGUGCCAAACAACCUCAUCUGUGGUUGCUAGAGCGCGUUUACUAGGUGCCGGGCGACGAAAAAUCCACGGAGUCCAAAAGUCUACCAUCUAUUGGCCAUAAGCGACAGCAUUAUUGCGGUUGUUUUGGAGAACACUAUCUUUAAGUGCUUGAUGGAUUUGUAAGACAGCGCGUUCUGGAGUCUGAACAAUCCGUUCAGAGAAAAGAAAUGCCAUCAUAGGCGAUCGGGGAAUUCUAAGGAUAUAAGCAAGAAACUGGGCAGUCGUGUACUAGAUCAUCUUUCACUUUGAGGUGGAAUCUGCACUACCUAGGCAGCCAACAACACCCAUGGAUGGACGGAUUCUUGAGAUAAUCAAGACCACUUUUAUUACGAAACAAAUAAUAUCAUAUUAUUAAUAUUGCACUAAAUCACACACUAAACCUUCAACGAAGCCA